ACCAGUGCCUAUGGGGUCGGGAAGGUCCCCCCGCGAGGUGGACUUCCGGUUCUGGAGGUAGUUUUGCAGCAGCAUCUUGCGCAGCUGGUUGCCCUGGGGGAGGAUGGGAGUGAGGCCCCAUUGUGGGUACAGCCCACCACUGACCACUGGCCUGACGGGCUUGACCCUGAGCCCCUGGGUACUCCUGACUGGCCCACCCAGCACUUGCCCCACCAGGGCACUCACCCGGUCCCCGUACUUGGUCUUCUUGAGCAGCAUCUGCUGCAGGGUCCGCAGCACCUUGAUGCACAGCUUCUCCUCCGACUCCAUGAGGUCCUUGGUGUGCUGGAUCAGCCUGAGCCGGCCAAGGAGGCAGCUCAGGGCAGCCCCACACUGCCUCCCUCCAGCUACUUCCCCACCCCAUCCCAGGCAGGAACACCCCCAGGCCCUCUGACCCAGUGAGCCUGUCUAGUCCCCACCGGGCCCUUCUCUGUCCCCUGCCGCUGCACCCCUGCUGCCCCCAUGCCCCAGUGUCUCGCUCACUUGGACAGGAAGCCCCCACUCUCGCAGCGCUGGUAGGCCUCACUGCCCUCCAGGAAGAGCAGCUCAGGCCAGUGCAGGACAUCCACCAGCACGGACAGCUCAGCCUGUACCAGGGGCUUCAGCCGCUCCUCCAGGGCUGUGAUGAUGUCCUGGGGUGGGCAGGGCAGAGUCAUUGCCAGGCCCAAGAAAUGACCCGGGUGUGACUGCCAUUCCUCCGACCCAAACGCCAAACAGCCCCACAGAUUGCCCUGCCUCUGUCUGAGGGGCCCACACCCACAGAGACACCCUGAACACAGCGUGAUGUCUGUCUGCUCAGAGCCCUGGCUGGGAGCUGCCAAGCCUGGCUUCUCUCCCAGCUCUGUGUGACCUUGGGCAAACCCCUUAGCCUCUCUGAGCCUCAGUCUCCUGCCACGUGGGGAAAAUAAUCCACCACACCCCCUCUACAGGCCAACGAGACAGCGCACAGAAAUGUGCUGCAUAGACAGGAGGGCGCUGCAGGAGUGAGGGGUGGUCCCGACCCCCUCAUGAGCUCCAACCCCACUAGCAGGCCUCUGGGUUCUCCAGGCUUCCUCUGGAAGGAGGUUCCCCAGUCCCUUGCUGCUGGGUCGGCCCUUAGCAGCCCCAGAGUGUAGAGAAGCCAACCAGCCCCUUCCUGGAAGUGUGGGCAGGACAGGAAGAAACACUCCCCGAGAACUUGCCCCUCCAAAGUAGGGGAGCUGCUGACUCAACCAAGCAGCUCCCGAGGCAGAUGCCAGGCAGCCCCACACCCACCUGCAGCUUCUCAAUGAUGUUCUUGUAGUCCCACUGGUUGGCGGUGGGGGUGACGCGGGGGAAGGCCCGCGUGGUUGCCUUGUAGCUGGAGGCGUUCCGCUGGGCGGCAGCUGCACAGCUGGCUCCACUGCUGAGCAUCGAGCUGAUGUGGGCAUCCAGGUCCAUGGGCAGCAAGAUGGCCCGGCCCUUGGCUGGGUGGGAAGGGAGGGAGUGCUGGAGUGCUGGUGCGGGGGCAGUUCAGCCAGCCAGAGGCCAGGCUCAGGGCUGCCACACCAGGAGACAGAGUGAACUAGACCAAGGGUCUGGGAGACAGAGACCCCCCCCACCCCGGCCUAUGCUUGAGGGACUGAGAGGCUUUCUUCCCCUUGUUGGGUAAAAGGAGUUUCUGCCUCUUUGAUUCCCCCCGGCUCUACCCUGACUUCCCCUUCCUCUCUCUCACCUGUCCUCUCUUCUUCCCCAACUGUCCCUAACAAUCCACAGGCCUGCUCCUGCCUGAGCCCAUCUGCAAAUACCCAUAAAAAACUAGCUGGAGAAUGUCGGCGAGCAUCCUUCUCUGGGGAACUGACCCAGAGGAGAAAACAGCUUCUCUCAAUUGCCAGGAUGAGGCAGACGCCAAGAAGAACUUACUGACAACCACCUGGGAGCAGGAGAUGGGCGAGCUUAGGGAUAAAGUGUUUAUUAGGAGGGCAGGCGUCCCCACUGUGAGCGGCAGGAGGAGUGGUUUGGGGCUGGCCAGUGCCCCGGCACACUCACCCACCAUGGCGAGGGUCCGGAUGCAGGCCUCCACGGAGCCCUUGUGCUGCUGCUGUAGCCACGGACACUCGAGGAGGCGUGUGGUAGACUGCAGCAGCUGCACCACAAUCGUCUGGUGUGUCUGCAAGAAGUCACAGAGCCCGCUGCUGCAGCCCAGGCCCCCACCCUGGGCAACCCCAGGUCCAGGAACCAGGGCCCAAUCAGAAUGGGCAUGGGUGGAGAGACGGAGCCUUCACUAGCCACCAUGUGCCUCUGUGCCAGUUGGAAAAAGCUAGGCAAGUCGGCCCUGGGGUGGUGGGAGAGGAGAAGCUCACCUGCAGGGAAGUGCUGUUCUCAGAGAAUGGGGAGCUGAAGAAGGCGUUGAUGGUGUCCAGCACAACGCUCAGCACGUACUUCUCCAAGGUGGGGUCAGCCACGCGCUUCUCACGCUUGCUGCAGACCUGAGGCAGGAGAGAGGGAUGGCUGGGGGCUCCUCACAUGGGGCCCCUCCACUCCCACACCUCCUGGGGGGCUUCACCCACACCCCUCACAGGGACAGACCCGGGCCAUGUCCAGGGUGAAGUUCUCAAAGAGCGUCCAGAUGUGGUUGCUGGUGUAGAUCUCCUUCAUCUCCACCUCCGUGUCCACGUAGCAGUGGUUCACGAAGUUCACAUAGGCCAUUUUCACCUGGGCAGUGGGCGGGAGGUCAGGGGCGCAAGCAGGGCCGCCUGGCCAGGCUCUCCCUGCCACAAUGCUCCUGUCCCCUGGCCUCCGGUUCCUGCCCACUUCCCUGGCUUUGCUUCACCCACUCUUCCUGUCCCGUGGCUUUACCCACCCCUUCGCCCCAUCUCCAGCCGUCUUGCCCAGUCUCCCGAUCCCCACCUCAGUGAUGCAGUCCUCAUGCGUCACCACAGACACCACGUCCUCCAGCGGCAGCAGGGAGGUGCACUUGAUCUCAGUGUAGACGUUUUUGCCCUCGGCACAGGCGGCCAGCAGGUCCACCAGGGAAAUGUGGUACAUGAGGGGGCUGUGGUCCUCCACGCCGUCGCGGGCGGCCUUCAUCAUGUCCAGCAGGUGGGCCAGCGAUGCCUUAUCAUUGUAGAACACGACCACAUCGUCACCUGCAUUGGUCAGCUGCGGGUGGGAGGGGGCACGUGUCACACUCUCUCGGUCCAGCAAGCCCUGGGCUCUCCUCUCCGUUGCUUACCAGGGAGAAACUGGGACUCUGACCACAGCCCUUACCUGAAAUCAGGAAAACCCUCCCCUGGCUGGGAUUUGGGGGUUCCCCAGCUGAUGUCUCAGGCCCUCUGCCAGCAGAGAUAUUGACCCCAUGACCCAGAAAGUCCCCGCUUCUCCCCACUGGAAAGAAGUCCCAUAGGGGUCAUCUCAGAGGCAGCUUCCUCCAGGAAGCCUCGCUAAUCCCGCCUUGCUCACCCCCUCCCUCCCCUGUGCUCCCGCAGCAGUUACUUAAACCCUCCUCACUGAGCACACACCUCUCGUGCCAGCGACUGCAUUAUUCGCAGUAAUAUAAUAAUAGAAAUUAAUAAAACUAACACUGUACAGCAGUUCCAGCACAUCAUGUCUUGUUUAUGAUGUCCUAAUCUCCCUUCAGUGUUUGCUUCUUUCUCCCCCUGCCGCCUACACUGUCAGAUGCUCAGGGGCAGGGACCACGUCUGUUCCAGAUUUAGACUCAGCCCUGUAUCCUUCGUGCCUUCACUCAACAGGUGUCUGUUGAGAACCUACUAUGCGCCACACACUGGGGCCCUGGCGAUGCACACAAAGGAUGGGGUCCCUGCCCGUGCCCCCCAGGAGCUGACACUCAGCUGAUGUCCCCCAUGCAUGUACAGUCCGUGGCACGUAGCAGGUGCUUCCUGAUUUUAAAUAAACGACGACAAGUGAC
rnacentral:lncRNA from 1 species